ensembl:lncRNA
CCCAAACUCUCCUUAAAAAUUCACUUCACUAAAGAUUGAAAUACUCCAAAAAAACAAUUGUUUAUGUUCUUUACUAUAUCUAUAUAUUCAUGCAUGUACAUGUAAAUAUACAGUGUGUUCGGAAAGUAUUCAGACACCUUGACUUUUUCCAUAUUUUAUGUUACAGCCUUAUUCUAAAAUUGAUUAAAUACUGUUUUCCCCUCAGAAGUCUACACAUAACAACCCAUAAUGACAUGUUUUUAGAAUAUUUAGCAAAUGUAUAACCCUGCCCCCCAAAAAAACAUACCUUAUUUACAUGAGUAUUCAGACCCUUUGCAAUGAGAAUCGAAAUAGAGCUCAGGUGCAUCCUGCUUCUACUGAUCAUCCUUGAGAUGUUUCUACAACUUGAUUGGAAUCCACCUGUGGUAAAUUCAAUUGAUUGGACAUGAUUUGGAAAGGCACACACCUGUCUAUAUAAGGUCCCACAGUUGACAGUGCAUGUCAGAGCAAAAACAAGCCAUGAGGUUGAACAAAUUGUCCGUAGAGAUCCGAGACAGGAUUAUGUCGAGGCACAGAUUUGGUGUUGGCGUACCAAAAAAUGUCUGCAGUAUUGAAGGUCCCCAAGAACACUGUGGCCUCCAUCAUUCUUAAAUAGAACACGUUUGGAACCACCAAGACUCUGCCUAGAGCUGGCCGCCCAGCCAAACUGAGCAAUCAGGGGCGAAAGGGCAUUGGUCAGUGAGGUGACCAAUAACCAGAUGGUCACUCUGACAGAGCUCUAGAGUUCCUCUGUGGAGAUGGGAGAACCUUCCAGAAGGACAACCAUCUCUGCAGCACUCCCCCAAUCAGGCCUUUAUGGUAGAGUUGCCAGACGGAAGCAACUCCUCAGUAAAAGGCACAUGACAGCACAUCUGGAGCUUGCCAAAAGCCACCUAAAGAGUCUCAGACCAUGAGAAACUAGAUUAUUUGGCCUAAAUGCCAAGCGUCACAUCUAAAGGAAACCUGUCACCAUCCCUACGGUGAAGUAUGGUGGUGGCAUUAUCGUGGUGUCAUUAUCAUUCUGUGGGGAUGUUUUUCAGCAGCAGGGACUGAGAGACGAGUCAGGAUCGAGGGAAAGAUGAACGGAGCAAAGCACAGAGAGAUCCUUGAUGAAAACCUGCUCCAGAGCGCUCAGGACCUCAGACUGGGGUGAAGGUUCACCUACCAACAAAAUAACGACCCUAAGCACAAAGUCUGCGUAGGAGUGGCUUCGGGACAAGUCUCUGAAUGUCCUUGAGUGGCCAAGUCAGAGCUCGGACUUGAACCUGAUCAAACAUUUCUGGAGAGACCUGAAAAUAGCUGUGCAGCAACGCUCCCCAUCCAACCUGACAGAGAUUGAGAGGAUCUGCAGAGAAGAAUGGGAGAAACUCCCCAAUUACAGGUGUGCCAAGCUUGUAGCGUCAUACCCAAGAAGAAUUGAGGUUGUAAUUGCUGCCAAAGGUACUUCAACAAAGUACUGAGUAAAAGGUCUGAAUACUUAUGUAAAUGUCAUAUUUCAGUUUUUUAUUAUUAAUACAUUUGAAUUAAACCUGUUUUUGCUUUGUCAUUAUGGAUUAUUGUGUGUAGAUUGAUGAGGGAAAAAACUAUUUAAUCAAUUUUAGAAUAAGGCUGUAACCUAACAAAAUGUGGAAGAAGUCAAGGGGUCUGAAUACUUUCCGAAUGCACUGUAGAUAUAUAUAUCGCACACUACGGUUGAUGUUUUCUAAUGGUUUUUAAUGGGUGCAUGAAUAUCUGAUCAUUUUUGUCAAUGACUUGGGUCCAACACUAUGUCAACAUCCCAAAUGGCACUCUGUUCCCUAUGAAGUGCACUUCUUUUGACCAGAGGCCUAUGUGCCCUGGUCAAAAGUAGUGCACUAUAUAGGGAAUAGGGUGCCAUCUGGGACGAAGCCUAUAUCACUAGUCUAGAAGUGACUGUGCUUGUGAUGCUGUUCAGUGUUUAGAAAGACGGACCUUGAAGCCUCACAAAUAGGGGCCAGAAGUUGAACCUGUUUAGAAAAACCCUUGGCUCUAUUCAUGAUCACGCCUCAAGAAAGAACUGUGAGCACAAUGAGAUGGACUUAUAUGAUUGGUUUACAGUGGUGCUACAUUAGCCUGAAUGCUGAUCUGUUUGUGCUAUCUUGCCAACUCCUGUCACUCAUUGUCAUGCCUAACAUUGACUUCAAAAUGACAACAAUGGAGUUGGCAAGAGCACAAACAGAUCUGGGAUCAGGCCAAUGCUACAGGGAGUUCAUUAAAAAGAUCACUGCUUGCUGCUCUCCACUGUUACAUAAAUCAGUCAACAACAGGUAUAGGAUCAGAAAACUGCAAUUCUAACCUUUACCAGUAGCGGGAUGAAAAACAUCUGACCCUGUAUCAGUGUAUAACAGCUGUUUCUACCUACGGUGCAUAAAUGAGGGUUACAAGUGAGAGUAGCUUAGAUAGGUCUCCUAGACUAAUGAACCUUGGACAAUCCAGGCCUCAUCAACAUUCAGUUAGUUCAGAUACAGUUACAUAAGCCACAGCCUGCCCUCCCACUCUGUUAAAGUUGAUUUCACCCAGUUAUCAUGAAGAAACCACUGAAAUGUUAGAAAUGUCCAAAUACUCAUUCUCUUGUUACUGGAUCUCCAUUAAAUGGGUUCAGCCUGACAAAUGCUUUAUUAAUACUCACGUGUCUUUGACCAAAGUACCAUACAGUCUGUCUCUGGGUCACUGGCCCUAUGCUCUGGUCCAGGGCAUUACAUGUGGCCUUCUUCAACAAGGCUUGCCGCAUGUAACACCCUGGACCAGAGCAACUGUGGUCUAUGCUUCCUCCUGGUUCUGUCUGGUUGUGGAUAUACUGGGCUUUCUGGGUCUCAAAUGUCACCCUAUUCCCUAUAUGGUGCACUUCUUUGGACCAGGACCCAUAGGGAUCUGGCAAUAAAUAGUGGACCAUGUAGGGAAUAGGGGGCCAUUUGGGGACGCAGGCCUGCAUGGGGCUGGGUGUCUCUCAUCUUAUGACAGACCCAGUGGAAUUGGUGGUGGUCCUAAUGGAAUACAAUAGAGUUAAAAUAGGUUGCUGUUAACCCAAUUUCAAACACAAACCAUGUGGUUGUACUGCUGCCUAUCACUUUCUAUGUAUUAUAAAGGGGGUGGGGGAUGCAACAGACAUACAUUCAGUCAGCUACUGUCAUAUUUUGGUGUAGUUAAGUUGACAACAAUGUAUACAAUAUUACAAUGUAAACAAUAUUACAUAUCUUCAACUGUCUUUUCAUGUUUCAAUUGGGGUGAAACGUGUAAUAUACACAGAGUGUACAAAACAUUAGGAACACCUUCCUAAUAUUGAGUUGCACUCCCCUUUGCCCUCAGAACAACCUCAAUUCGUCGGGCGUGGACUCUGCAAGGUGUCGAAAGCGUUCCACAGGGAUGCUGACCCAUGUUGACUCCAACAUGUUGUGUCAAGUUGGUUGGUUACACACAGGAAGCUGUUGAGCAUGAAAAACUCUGCAGCAUAGCAGUUCUUCACACACUGAAACCUUUGUGCCUCGCACCUACUGUCAUACCCCGUUAUAAGGGACGUGAAUAUUUAGUCUUGUCCAUUCACCCUCUGAAUGACACACACACACACAAUCCAUGUCUCAACUGUCUCAAGGUUUAAAAUCCUUCUUGAACCUGUCUCCUCCUCUUUAUCUACACUGAUUGAAGUGGAUUUAACAAGUGACAUAAAUAAGGGAUCAUAGCGAUCACCUUUAUUCACCUGGUCAGUCUGUCAUGGAAAGAGCAGGUGUUCCUAAAGUUUUGUCCCCUCAGUGUAAAUAUCAUGCAAUUGCAAAGUGAGGUCAGAGAAGUAUGUUUUUUUAGACAUAUUUUUAGCGACCAGAAAACGUCUAACAGCCAAAAUAUGAGGUCUUUCCCAGAUGUCUCCAUUACCUUGUUGUAACCAGGUUAUCUUUAUAAGCAGAAAACCAGUUUACAAUGCCAAAUGUUGCCCCCUGGGUAAGUAGGCUAAUGUAUCUACGUCAGAUUGUGGAUGCUGGGGGCUGGGGGGGGGGGGAUAUGUCCCAAAUAGGUCCCAAAUGGAUGCCAUGUGGCUCAGUAUGGCACGUCCCAUGGGAGACUAGUAUGAAAAAAUGUCUGCACUCACUACUGUAAGUCACUCUGGAUAAGAGCGUCUGAUAAAUUACUAACAUGUAAAUGUAUUCCCUUUAAAGUGCACUACUUUUGAAAAAGUAUUCUGAAUGUGUCCCAAAUGGCACCCUAUGGGACCUGGUCAAAUGUAGGUCUAGUGCACUAAAUGUGGAAUAGGGUGCCAUUUGGGACAUAACCCUCUGUCACUAAAUCCUCUUUGUCACAGUGGAUGGAUAACAUCAUCACUCGAUAGUCACACACACCACAUACCGUACUAAGUGCCAAUUUCUCUCUUUCUCUUGUUGGUAAAGCACUGAUGCUGAAUUACUUUGUGAAUAU